GGCUCUUCGAAAUUAGUUGAUGAGGAGUUGGACCUGCCCAGUGAAAAGUUUUAACGGCCGCGGUACUCUGACCGUGCAAAGGUAGCAUAAUCAUUUGCCUUAUAAUUGAAGGCUUGUAUGAAUGGUUUGACAAGAAUAUGACUGUCUCUAUAUAAUUUUAUAGAAUUUUAUCUUGAAGUGAAGAAGCUUGAAUAAUAUUAAUAGACAAGAAGACCCUAUCGAGCUUUAAAAAAAAUAGCAGGAGAAAUAAAAUAAGGUUAAAAAAUUAUCUGUUAUAAAUUUUGGUUGGGGCGACUUAGGAACAUAAAAAGCUUCCUAAAUUUUUUAAAAAGAACAAAGUGAUCCAAAAUGUUUUGAUUAAAGAAAUUAGUUACCGUAGGGAUAACAGCAUUAUCUUCUUUGAGAGUUCAUAUCGAAAAGAGGGUUUGUGACCUCGAUGUUGGACCAGAAUAUCCUAAAGAUGUAGCAGUCUUUAAGGGUUGGUCUGUUCGACCAUUAAAAUUCUACG
rnacentral:rRNA from 1 species